rnacentral:rRNA from 1 species
UAUUGGACAAUGGGCGAAAGCCUGAUCCAGCAAUGCCGCGUGAGUGAUGAAGGCCUUAGGGUUGUAAGGCUCUUUCACCCGGGAUGAUAAUGACAGUACCGGGAGAAUAAGCUCCGGCUAACUCCGUGCCAGCAGCCGCGGUAAUACGGAGGGAGCUAGCGUUGUUCGGAAUUACUGGGCGUAAAGCGCACGUAGGCGGCUUUGUAAGUUAGAGGUGAAAGCCUGGAGCUCAACUCCAGAACUGCCUUUAAGACUGCAUCGCUUAAUCCAGGAGAGGUGAGUGGAAUUCCGAGUGAGAGGUAAAUUCGAGUUUCGAAGACACCAGUGGCGAGGCGGCUCACUGGCUGGUUAGCGCUGCGUGAGAUAGA